GACGAACGCUGGCGGCGUGCCUAACACAUGCAAGUCGAGCGGGGUCCAUCCAGUGGCAACACUGGUGAAGACCUAGCGGCGAACGGGUGAGUAACACGUGAGAAACCUGCCCUGAAGUCUGGGAUAACCCGAGGAAACUCGAGCUAAUACCGGAUGCCCCCACCGAGUCGCAUGGCCUGGUGAGGCAAGAUUUUUCGCUUCCGGAGGGUCUCGCGGCCUAUCGGCUAGUUGGCGGGGUAACGGCCCACCAAGGCAUCGACGGGUAGCUGGUCUGAGAGGACGAUCAGCCACACUGGGACUGAGACACGGCCCAGACUCCUACGGGAGGCAGCAGUGGGGAAUAUUGCGCAAUGGGCGAAAGCCUGACGCAGCAACGCCGCGUGCGGGAUGACGGCCUUCGGGUUGUAAACCGCUUUCAGUGGGGACGAAAUCAGACGGUACCCACAGAAGAAGCCCCGGCCAACUACGUGCCAGCCGCCGCCGUAAAAC
rnacentral:rRNA from 1 species